rnacentral:rRNA from 1 species
UACAGAGGGUGCAAGCGUUGUUCGGAAUUAUUGGGCGUAAAGGGUGCGUGGGCGGUGCGGUAAGUCUGUUGUGAAAUCUCCGGGCUCAACUCGGAGUCUGCAUCAGAAACUGCCGUGCUGGAGUGUGGGAGAGGUGAGUGGAAUUCCCGGUGUAGCGGUGAAAUGCGUAGAGAUCGGGAGGAACACCUGCGGCGAAAGCGGCUCACUGGACCAUAACUGACGCUGAUGCACGAAAGCUAGGGGAGCAAACAGG